CCGGAUACCUUGACGGGCCGCACCAUGAAAAGCGACCCGAUCCCACGCCCCG
rnacentral:ncRNA from 1 species